rnacentral:ncRNA from 1 species
GUGAAGUCGUUGAGUGAUACUCACUGUUGCGACUUUUCAGCGGCAACGCUGAAAAACAAAUUCGGCUAUAUGCUGGAAACACUGUGUAUCUUGGGCUACGUAUGAUAUAUUUAUACGUGAAAAUGCCGCAAGUGAAUAUGCUUUCAUCAAGAAACGCAUAUGAACAGCCAAUCAGCAGGGAAGUCUUCCGACUUGGUCGGAAUGACCCCUCAGAGACUACACGCCGAACUCCUCUCUCAAGAGGAAAUCAAGGCCUAUCUGCAGGGUGCGCUACACGAUGGCACGUUUAGCCAGAAUCAUCGUUAUCGCAUUUCUCAGAAAGGGACUGAAUGGCUGGAAGUAUUGAGGAAAAUGUUUGGCCGUCUCGGACAUCGAUCCUGGAUAUACAAAGAAGGAAAGCAACGCGAGGUGCACGUCAUCGAGACACUCGCGGACUUCCUCGAUUUUUCUUUCGAUCCGCUCACAUUGCACGACGGCAAUGCUCGAGCGGCGUAUAUUCGAGGUUUUUUCGAUGCAGAAGGCGGCAUGCCUCAUCACCGGGAGGCAAGAUUCUACAUUCAGUUGUGCCAAAAGGAUAAAAAGAAGAUGAGAACGCUGAAACUCAUGCUCCAAAAUUUGGGCGUCGCAUGCGGGGAAAUUCACAAUCCAAGCAAGCGAGUUGACCCAGAGUAUUGGCGCUUGUACAUUGCAGCCGCUUCUCACCGAGAUUUUGCGAGGAUCAUAGGAUCAUGGCACCCGAAAAAGCAAAAAAUUCUUGAGGAGAGGAAGAUGAUAUAGUCCAUGCCUUAUGGCGACAUAGGG